rnacentral:rRNA from 1 species
GACGAACGCUGGCGGCGCGCUUAACACAUGCAAGUCGAACGGAAAGGCCUGCUUUCCCUUGUGGAUUGCGGGUACUCGAGUGGCGAACGGGUGAGUAACACGUGAGUGAUCUGCCCCCAACUUGGGUAUAAGCCUGGGAAACUGGGUCUAAUUCCCGAUAGGACUGCAGGGUGGUGCCUGUGGUGGAAAACGAUUUUCUAGUGGUUGGGGAUGAGCUCGCGGCCUAUCAGCUUGUUGGUGGGGUAAUGGCCUACCAAGGCGGCGACGGGUAGCCGGCCUGAGAGGGUGGACGGCCACAUUGGGACUGAGAUACGGCCCAGACUCCUACGGGAGGCAGCAGUGGGGAAUAUUGCACGAUGGGCGGAAGCCUGAUGCAGCGACGCCGCGUGGGGGAUGACGGCCUUCGGGUUGUAAACUCCUUUCGACCGCGAGGAAGCCACCUGGUUGGAAGGGUGGUGACGGUAGUGGGAGAAGAAGCACCGGCUAACUACGUG